AGUGAAUUGCCUGAUGAAAGGAUUACCUUGAUAGGGUAAAUCACAUGGUAAAUAACCAUAUUCAUUA
rnacentral:tRNA from 1 species